CCUACGGGUGGCAGCAGUAGGGAAUUUUCGUCAAUGGGCGCAAGCCUGAACGAGCAAUGCCGCGUGAACGAGGAAGGUCUUCGGAUCGUAAACCUCUGUCAGCAGGGAAGAACGGUCACUGUGCUAAUCAGCAGUGAAUUGACGGUACCUGCAAAGGAAGCACCGGCUAACUCCGUGCCAGCAGCCGCGGUAAUACGGAGGGUGCGAGCGUUAAUCGGAAUUACUGGGCGUAAAGCGCUCGUAGGCGGUAUGUCAAGUCAAGGGUGAAAUCCCCGCGCUCAACGUGGGAACUGCCUUUGAAACUGGCAAACUGGAGUGUGUGAGAGGAUAGUGGAAGUCCAGGUGUAGGAGUGAAAGCCGUAGAUAUCUGGAGGAACAUCAGUGGCGAAGGCGACUAUCUGGCACAUAACUGACGCUGAGGAGCGAAAGCGUGGGUAGCAAACAGGAUUAGAUACCCGAGUAGUC
rnacentral:rRNA from 1 species